UCCUACGGGAGGCAGCAGUGGGGAAUAUUGGACAAUGGGCGAAAGCCUGAUCCAGCAAUGCCGCGUGAGUGAUGAAGGCCUUAGGGUUGUAAAGCUCUUUUACCCGGGAUGAUAAUGACAGUACCGGGAGAAUAAGCUCCGGCUAACUCCGUGCCAGCAGCCGCGGUAAU
rnacentral:rRNA from 2 species